rnacentral:tRNA from 1 species
ACCCCCAUAGUCUAGUGGUUAGGACACCUCUCUUUCAAGGAGGCAGCGGGGAUUCAAAUUCCCCUGGGGGUA